rnacentral:lncRNA from 1 species
CUGAAAAGUGGGAAUAAUAGGAAGACUCUCUUCAUCGCAGGCUUGUUGUGAGGACGAGAUAGUCCUAAGUCACAACAACUGUUAGCUGCUAUUCUUCCUGCUUCCAGCCUGGCCCCCUGAGGAGGGCUCCAUCUAACACCUGCCGGCCACGCCCCUCUCCCCGCCCCCAAAUCACUGCUUCAGAGAAGAGAGCAAAAGAGACAGGUUGCCCGGGAGAGCCCUUUCAUGGGGCGUGGCUCUGCCCCUAGGUCCCCAGGAGUGAUCAUAAUUUGACGUGUCACAGAGGCAGCAGCUUUAAAAGGGCAAGAACUGGACAUUCCUUCAGCAAUGGGGAUUGUUCUGUCACAUCGUGCUGCUUAAGUCUGGGAGCCAGGGUGGGAGGUACUGGGUUACAAGAAGGGAACAGGUGUGAGGGGUGACAACAUACUCAUUCAGCUUUGGACUCGUGCCUGUGGGGGUCCUGUAGGAGAUCUUGCGGACCUGUGCAGUGGGCCGUCGGAAAGGCAAGCCUGACCCUUUCAAGAGAGGUCAGGCCUGGAGACCAAGGCUGCCCAGUUUGUGGUAAUCUGUUUUGGCAGCCUUAGGAAAUGAAUACAGGAGGCCAGGCCUUUUUACCCAGUACGAUCUGUCGUUGGAUGUGGGCUGCCCCGGAAGGAAGCACGAUCCUGGGCACUGAAAGAGAACACAGGGCUGAUUCCUUGACCUUUUGCAGUUCAUAGUCUAAUGAGGAAUACGAAUAAUUACAAAGAUCCUAGCUCAGAGGAUGGACCAGGCUUCAGAUGCACAAGACUUCUUUGGAAUGUUCAUGGAAACUUUAUUUACUCAUUGGUGCUUUCUUUGGUUUCUAGGAAAGACUCUUUUACAGCCCUCAGCACUGUUAUUGCGUGAACUGGCUCAGCAUGGCCGGCCCAGUGAAGGACGCCAGUGGUAGUAACCGGGGAAGAGGGAUCCCCUGGCUCUUCUUACCAAACUUCUCCGAUCGUUUGGAGUGGUUUGGCCAUCAGUUAGUCAGGAAGAGGCCAGAAGGACACGUGCUGAUAAUGCUUCAAGAAAGUUAAACUUUAGGAAAAACUCGACCGAAGUAAAAAUAGCUAUGUAGUCAGUGACCAAAGCUACUUGGAUGGUCCUGUUGAUUGCUCUUGUGCAUUUUAUCACACGAAUACAGGCUUUCCCCUAAAAGUUGAAAAUAAAGAAGGGAAAUGUGAUGAAUGGC